rnacentral:rRNA from 1 species
UACGUAGGGUGCGAGCGUUGUCCGGAUUUACUGGGCGUAAAGAGCGCGCAGGCGGUCGUACAAGUCGCGUGUGAAAGCCCCCGGCUCAACUGGGGAGGGUCACGCGAUACUGUUCGACUCGAAGGCAGGAGAGGGAAGUGGAAUUCCCGGUGUAGUGGUGAAAUGCGUAGAUAUCGGGAGGAACACCAGUGGCGAAGGCGACUUCCUGGCCUGUUCUUGACGCUGAGGCGCGAAAGCUAGGGUAGCAAACGGGG